rnacentral:rRNA from 1 species
UGACGGAGCGGCGAACGGGUGAGUAACACGUGGGCAACCUGCCCUCAGCUCUGGGACAACUCCGGGAAACCGGGGCUAAUACCGGAUACGACUUCCUGCGGCAUCUCGGGAAGUGGAAAGUUUUUCGGCUGAGGAUGGGCCCGCGGCCUAUCAGCUUGUUGGUGGGGUAAUGGCCCACCAAGGCGACGACGGGUAGCCGGCCUGAGAGGGCGACCGGCCACACUGGGACUGAGACACGGCCCAG